UUUUAUGGGGUAAGGGGCUCAGGGGUGUGGAAUUGAGCAUAGCGAUGAAAGACCCCCUCAGGGAGACCCUCACUCAAGCCUCGGGACAGCUGCGGACCCAAGAAGACACCGAGACCA
rnacentral:pre_miRNA from 7 species